UGUGUAGGCGGCUGUCUAAGUUUGGUGUGAAAUCUCCCGGCUCAACCGGGAGGGUGCGCCGAAAACUGGAUGGCUAGAGUGCGGGAUGGGAGAGUGGAAUUCCUGGUGUAGCGGUGAAAUGCGUAGAUAUCAGGAGGAACACCGGUGGUGUAGACGGCUCUCUGGACCGUAACUGACGCUGAAACACGAAAGCGUGGGUAGCAAACAGGAUUAGAUACCCUGGUAGUCCACGCCCUAAACGAUGCAUAUUUGGUGUAGGUCAUUCAGUUGAUCUGUGCCGGAGCUAACGCGUUAAAUAUGCCGCCUGGGGAGUACAGUCGCAAGGCUGAA
rnacentral:rRNA from 1 species